ACCAAGGAGUCUAACGUGUGCGCGAGUCAACGGUGAUCUUACGAAAAACCACGUUUGGCGCAAUGAAAGUGAACCGUUUACGGUGCGGACGAUGGCCUAGCGACCGAACCCACCGGCGUUCAAAGUCGCGCUGGUCCGCAGUCCGGGGGCGUCUCCGCCAAGUCGGCUUCGGCCGGCUGGGGGCGCACCCUUAGCGCACACGUUGGUACCCGAAAGAUGGUGAACUAUGCCUGGCCAGGAUGAAGUCAGGGGAAACCCUGAUGGAGGUCCGCAGCGAUUCUGACGUGCAAAUCGAUCGUCUGAGCUGGGUAUAGGGGCGAAAGACUAAUCGAACCAUCUAGUAGCUGGUUUCCAUCCGAAGUUUUCCCUCAGGAUAGCUGGCGCCGAUGUGUCCCCGCCCGUUCGCGGGCGUACGGACGCCGGUGGGACUCCGCGCUGUACGGCGCGGUAACAACACGCUCGUAACACGGAGGAUGUCUCAUACGGUAAAGCGAAUGAUUAGAGGACAUUGGGGGCCGAAACGACCUCAACCUAUUCUCAAACUAUAAAUGAAGUGGAGAUCGCCGGCUUUUACCUGGUACACCGCGUGAACCGCGUGCGAGGCCCGGCGACGGGAACCCCUAGGCGCUUAGUGGGCAUUUUUUGGUAAGGCAGAACUGGGCGCCUGCGGGGAUGAACCCGAACGCCGAGUUAAGGCCGCCGAAAU
rnacentral:ncRNA from 1 species